rnacentral:rRNA from 1 species
AUUGAACGCUGGCGGCAUGCCUUACACAUGCAAGUCGAACGGUAACAGGCCGCAAGGUGCUGACGAGUGGCGAACGGGUGAGUAAUACAUCGGAACGUGCCCGAGAGUGGGGGAUAACGGAGCGAAAGCUUUGCUAAUACCGCAUACGAUCUACGGAUGAAAGCAGGGGACCGCAAGGCCUUGCGCUCAUGGAGCGGCCGAUGGCAGAUUAGGUAGUUGGUGGGAUAAAAGCUUACCAAGCCGACGAUCUGUAGCUGGUCUGAGAGGACGACCAGCCACACUGGGACUGAGACACGGCCCAGACUCCUACGGGAGGCAGCAGUGGGGAAUAUUGCACAAUGGACGAAAGUCUGAUGCAGCAACGCCGCGUGGAGGAUGACACAUUUCGGUGCGUAAACUCCUUUUAUAUGAGAAGAUAAUGACGGUAUUAUAUGAAUAAGCACCGGCUAACUCCGUGCCAGCAGCCG